UGGAGGACCUGGGUUCGAUCCCCGAAAAAAAAAUCUUUUUCGAAAAAAAAAGAACCCCAUGUUAGCCUUAGUCUACUGAGGAGGUUGAUGUAAAGGUCUAAAGGAAAGUCAUCGCAGCAGAAAAGCAUUGUAAAAGUAUUUAGAGUGAUACAUUCAAGAGCAUGACAUCGAAAAAUGUAAUGAAAACACCUGGCUUAUAGUCUGCCAAGUUUGUUGAUGACAAUCCCAUGAUAUGCGGGCCACGGGGAGAAAGACUGCGUGAGCGUGAAAUCGUACGUGCGGGGAAGUGAGAUGCAUCAGUCGUGGGGUUUUCAUUCAUCGCUACACGCCCCCCGGCCUGCGCGGACCAUCGGGAGUGUUACGAACGAAGUUUCCAAGCUAUAGCAAAUAUAGCAAUCACUCAGAUACACAUAUAAUAAUAUUAUGUUUCUGUAUAGCUGACAGUCUUUUUAAACACCAACGCACCUAUCCAAGACUGUCUACAACAACCAACGCAAAGCCGUCAUAAUAAAAUAGAGAAUCUAUUAAUAGAUGUAUGUAAAAUAAUGAUUUUAUCAAAUGCAUUUGACCAUUCCAUUAUUUUCCAAUAUUCCUUGAAAAAACUUUUUAGGUAAUAGUUUUCUAUAUAAAUCAUUAUAUCAAAAGAAUUUGUCAGAAUCAAGUAAUCACCUAUAAUCACCAUUAUACUAGACUAUAAUAUAAAACAUGUCUCGUUUUUUCUUACAUUAUUCAUUCAGACACCAUUUAUUUUAAGUGAUUCGAACAAUUCGCAAAAGUUUAACAAAAAAUGUCCUUACUCGUGGUAAGUCUAUAAUUAUAUUUGUUGUUUAGUCAUUCUACUAUUAGAAGUUUAAGAAAAAGUUGUUCCGUAAUAGUUUUUUUUACUAGAAUGUGAGACAAUUGAUAAAACAAAAUUAUUUCAUUAUUUUUCAGUAUUGUGUUUUAUGGCUAUAUAGCGGCAUAGUUUUUGGAGAAAAUGUUAACCAUACUGAAUCAAAAAUUGGCAAAAGUUUAGAUGGUUUCCUAGAUAUUACUCAAACAGAUGAAAAAGAAGUUGAACUUAAAGAUGUAAAUGAUAGAAGUUAUAUAAUAAAUGAUAUUGUUCAAGUAAGCACAAAUGAGAAAACAUCAGAAAAUAUUGUAGAUAAUACCAAAGAUGUGCCCGUAAAAAUUAUGACAAUAAUAUCUAAAGGAAAAGCUACUGGAAAUGCAAAUGAUCAUGAGAGAAAAAAUGCGCAAGAUAUCCCUAUACUGGUGACGGAAAACGGUAAAAAUAAGCAAGAAAACACAGAAACAACGUUGUUAAUAAGACCUGACCAUAAAAACACAGAUGUACAUCUAAAAGGUAAAAAUAACAAUGUCGCUGAUAAUAAUGUUUUAUCCAUAGAUGAAGAUAAUAUCAGAAAACGCAACACAAGAGCUACAAAUGACGAAUCAAUGGUUGCAAAUAACAAUAAUUUAUUAAGUCUUUUGCUGGAUGUAAUAAAUGGACUCAUGCAAUUCAGUCCUUUAAGUUUAUCACAGCAAAGCUUCGAUAUGGUGUCAAAGAUUUUCGAGUCAUUUUUAGCAGUAAUUUUUGGGCCUAACAUACAUAUUCUUUGGCCGAUACUUGCCAGAGUAAUUGUUACGUUUAUUAAAUUACUGACGUGAUAAGGCUACACAUUUUACAAAAGCUUGGAUAUAUAAAUAAAAGUGCAGGCCCGAAGAUCCGUCCUUGAAAAGUCUUUGGCACAUAGACUCAACGCAAUAAUUCGUUUGGCUUUGUUCUAAGCUCCCUUUUCAAGAAUAAUAAUUAAGAUUGCGAUAGAGCUAACCAGUUCGUUUAAAAUCCCGUAGCGUAUUU
rnacentral:lncRNA from 1 species